rnacentral:rRNA from 1 species
UACGUAGGGGGCAAGCGUUGUCCGGAAUUAUUGGGCGUAAAGAGCUUGUAGGCGGUCCGGUAAGUCAGCUGUGAAAGUCAAGGGCUCAACCCUUGAAAGCCGGUUGAUACUGUCGGGCUAGAGUCCGGAAGAGGCGAGUGGAAUUCCCGGUGUAGCGGUGAAAUGCGCAGAUAUCGGGAGGAACACCAAUGGCGAAGGCAGCUCGCUGGGACGGUACUGACGCUGAGACGCGAAAGCGUGGGGAGCAAACAGG